ACACCUCAGCACUGUCUGCCCCGAUUUCCUUUGGCACUCCUUAGAGGAAUUAUCUCCGGCCUCUGCAAGCGCUGUGCUCAGCCAAGCGUGAGGAGCUUUGGCUCCCGGUGCACAUACUUGCAGCAGGGACAUCGGCAUCUGGCUGAACCUGAAAGCUCAUCAUCCUCGCUGGAGGAAGGAGCUCUCCCCCAGGACCUGGGUUUCAGGAUGGAGCAGCAGCUACACCCUGCGAGAACGUCACUUGGCUGCUGCCAGAGCAAAAGCGAAGGGGUUCAGCCAUCUCGCCACCGAGACACUGCAAUUACUGAGCUACUGUAAAACAAGAUCUGCCAAGGAUAUUACAGCUGCUUUUCCCUCGUAAAGUCAAGGGUGAAGAAGCUGCGGGAACAUGGCUUGUGGCCAGGAGCCUGAUAAAGAUGCAAGGAAAAGCGACCAUUCCCAGGGGAAUUAACCUCCGUGGCCACUUGCUGCAGCUCUGCUUGUCUGAAUCAUAGAUGCUGCUGCAGCAUUCGUGCUGCACGACUGCAGAAGCUGCUCUUCCUCAUGGCCUGGAUCACUGGGAG
rnacentral:lncRNA from 1 species